ACCCAAGUCCAGUUCCCAGCACCUACCUGCAGUGGCUCAAAACAGCCUGUAACUCCAGCUCCUGGAGCCCCAACACCCUCUUCUGGCCUCUGAGGGCUCCUGCACUCAGCUACUGACUUCAGACAGAAACCUCCACCGCUGUGAGCCAGAGUGAACUUCUCCACUUUUAAAGUCGGUUGUCUCAGGCGUUUUGUUACAGUAACAGAAAGCCACCUUGAUAGUUUUAACUCUUAACUUGCCUCAACUCAGAAUCACCUGGGAAGAGUCUCCACAGAGUACUUUUUAUCAUCAGGCAAGCGGACCGAGACAUUGUUCCGUGUAUACACAACUGAAUACUAUUCAGUCAUUAGGAAGAAAAUGAUUUUGCUGCUGUGGUUCAGAGUGGAAGGCAUUGAGCCAAGGGAGACACUGCACCAUCUCGGCCUGUUAGCACUUCCUGUUACUUCACUGCUCUACUUCCUGUUACGGCACUGCUGCACUUCCUGUCUGCCCAGUGGUGAGCAACUCCAUGGUACUGUCUUCACCAACAAGGACUGAAACUUUUGAAACCAAGAACAAAACGUCACUCCCUGCUGGCCACUCACCGGAGGGAAGCAGGUUCAAAAGGACACACCGGACCUUGGAGCCUCCUGAGGAUGGAGUGUCUUCAAGCUGGAGGGAUACCACUCAACAGAUCCCCUCUGCCAUGUUAUGAUGCUGGAAGACCAGAAGAUAGUGUGUUCAUACAGACUUGCCAGCCUCCAAAACUGCUCAUUCCCGGAUUUCAGACUAGCACUGGGCAGGUGAAACCCCGGAGGAGAAAGAAAACAGCCUCAUCAUUCUGCUAAGACUCCUUCCUGCUCCCCUCCCCAGUCUCAAAACACGCGCCUUUGUGACCAGGCUUCAGAAGCGGCGAGGGGAAGACCCUGCAGUCACGGUCACAUGGCCACAUUGGCACUCUCGGUGGAACAUGUCUGAGCAGAAGUGACAGUUCCCCUUCAGGGAUUAUCUUUGAUUGACACAAAGUCUAAGCUGGACAGAGGGAGUCAGGGGCAUGAGAACUCCGAUUCUCCCAGCAAUGGGGGUUGACAUUACUGUGAGGACACAUCAGCAAAGCCCCCCCCCCCGGGGGGGCAUACUAAAGGAAGCAGCAGGGUGGGUGCUGUGUGCUCAGGUCUUUCUGCCUGAAAUACCUAAGAUGGAGCUUGCUUUCCCUUGUUGACUUUGUUAUCUCCUCCUGCAUCUGGGACAAAGCUCAAGGCUCUGGGGUCUCUAGGAAGUGUCAACAAGUCUCUAAGGGUCCAUAGCCACAGCACACCGCUUCUUUAUUCUUUUCUCGCUCGUGACAGAGUUUCUUGAACUCAGCAGUGUGACCUCCAUUUCCUAGGCUUGCCUGAGCCUAAGGUCAAAGGGAGCCACGGGGCUAGAAAGGUGGCCCAGCUGCUGCAUGGCCCAGAGUCAGGUGCCCUACAUCACAGCCACAGAAAACGAUCACAGCUGCUGUAUUGCCGUGUGCCUAUCAGGACUUACCUCCUUCACGGUCCAGUCCUCCAUUGUUCUGAGGAGAGGAAACUGGCAAACUUUGCCCUUCUCAGAGGCACUGUGGUGACCCGUGAUGAACAAGGAUCUAGGGCCUCUUGGCUUUGCACAUAAGUAGGUGCAGGACAGAGGUGAACAUGCAAGGAAGAAAUAAAAAAUCGGGGUGGGGUUUGGGGGAGGUGGAAUUAAAAACUGGAGGGAUGAACUGUGCUGCAGAUUCCCGGCUUCUCCAGGCAGUGAAGUGGUCCCUGGUGAAAGGGGAUGGUGUAGCGCAGUGUGAGAGGUUCUAGAAGGGUAUGAAGAGGGACUGCCUGGGACACCAGUUCCGGUUUUUGUUACAUGCCAUGAUCUUGGUGAUAACUCAGCUUUGCCCAAAGAAAGUUGAAACACGAAGCAGGCUACUCAAUCUAUCAGUAAAGAAACCAACAUGUUCUUUCAUCUCCAAGUUCUGACGUCAUACGCCAUUAUCUGCGGUGUGAUAGUCAAGGAUAAUAGAAUCAACUGUCAGAUCACAAAUAGUGGAUUCAAGGAUGAAUGAAUAGACCAAGUAGGCAGAUAGGCCUAUGAUAACUGAGAAUUCCAUUUGAUUAAGAGGAAGAAAGUUUAGGAAACAAAAAAAAGCAAAGAGAAAAGACUGCUUUGAAAGGGUAGGGGGCGGCAGAAAAUUUGGUACAGGCUGCUUUUAAAAAUAAAUUGAAAUAAUGUGCAUAAUGAUACAGGAUGAAAGAAAAUCUGGUUCUCACCCUUAUUCUACUUGUAAAUUUAAUUGAUGGAGUAGGCAAACAACAAUCCCCCCUCAAAAAAAAACCAAAAAGCCUUAGUGUAGUGGCUGCUGGUGUAGUGUAUUAGGUAUGGUGUAUGUAUAUGUAUAUGGUAUCUUUGUGAGGGAUAUGUAUGAUGUGUGUGCAUAGUGUUUGGUGUGUAUAGGGAUAUAGUAUGUUUGACUGGUGUGUGUGUGUGUGUGUGUGUGUGUGUGUGUGUGUGUGUGUGUAGACUUAAAAAAAAAAAAUAGUUCUCGUGCCCAGGCAGGAACCGAGGACAAUAAACCAGAAUCCCCCAGAAGUGGGACAUGAUGUUUUUGAGGCACCUCAAGAGAUUCCAAAUGCACCACGGAGGCUGAGAAUUCCCUGAUCCAAACCUCACCUAAGCCAUCUCCUCUCUUAGACUCAUCCCCUUCCCCUACACGGGAACACAGCAGACUGCACUGUUGGUGUCUGCGUUUCAUGCCUUUUUAACCUCCAGUGCUCCAUGGGUGCUCUGAGGAGACUUUUUUCAGAGGAAGGUGGCCACCGCUUUCAAGACCAUGCAUUCCCGCAGCACAUACGGAGAUGACGUGACUUGCUUGAUUGCAUCGCACAGCUCUGAGUCACCUGGCACCUGGCCAGUUGGAAAGUUCCAGAAACCGGCUGUUUCGGCUCCUCACCCAGUAGAGACAUUUUUAUCCUGGGAGCUGGGAUCAAGGAUGCGGCUGAGGCUGACAGAAUUAGCUCAGGGCUUCUCUUCGGGAAGGUGCUGCCACUCGGCACUUACAUAACGGUACAGCUGUGCCAGCCUGCCCACAGAACGUGCUCCCAUUAUUUCUGUUUCCUUCCAUCACUUUAAA